rnacentral:rRNA from 1 species
GACGUAGGAGGCAAGCGUUAUCCGGAGUUACUGGGCGUAAAGAGCGCGCAGGCGGUUCGAUAAGUGGGUCGUGAAAGCUCCCGGCUAAACUGGGAGAGGACGAUUCAGACUGUCGGGCUAGAGGAUGGUAGAGGGGCGUGGAAUUCCGGGUGUAGCGGUGAAAUGUGUAGAGAUCCGGAGGAACACCAGUGGUGCAGACGGCGCCCUGGGCCACACCUGACGCUGAGGCGCGAAAGCUUGGGGAGCGAACGGG